AUGAACGCUAGCGGGACGCCUAACACAUGCAAGUCAAACGGGUCUUAUUUUGUAGCAAUACGAGAUAAGACUAGUGGCAAACGAGCGAGUAACGCGUACCUAACCUGCCCCGAAUAUGGGAACAACUAUAGAGAUAUAGCUAAUUCCCAAUACUCUCCACAAAAUGAAAAUAUGUGGAGCAAAGAUUUAUCGCUUUGGGAGGGGGGUGCGUCCUAUCAUGGUAGUUGGUGAGGUAAUGGCUCACCAAGCCUUUGACGGGUAGCCGGUCUAAGAUGAUGUUCGGCCGCGAUGGAACUGAGAUACGGGUCAUACUCCUACGGGAGGCAGCAGUGGGGAAUCUUGCACAAUGGACGAAAGUCUGAUGCAGCGAUCCCGCGUGGAGGAUGAAGCCCUAUGGGGUGUAAACUCCUUUUCUGGUGGAAGACGAAUGACGGUACACCAGGAAUAAGAGACGGCUAACUACGU
rnacentral:rRNA from 1 species